rnacentral:tRNA from 1 species
GGCGCUCUGGCGGAGUGGUUAACGCGAUGGCCUGCCAAGCCAUUUCCUUCGGAGGCCA